rnacentral:lncRNA from 1 species
AAUGAAAUAAAUUUAAAUAAAUUUUAACUAAUUUUAUAUCCAUUGUAAAAGUUAAUAUAUAAAGAAUGAAAUAAAUAAAAAGAAUUUAUUAACAACACUAUCUUUAAAUAAGUGAUUAAAAUUUAGAUAAAUUAAAAAUUGGAUCAUAUACAUUGUAGAUGUUUUCUAAUUAUAAUUGUAUAUGUGUCUAAUAAUGUACUUUCUCUUAAUUUUGCAUGAUAUAGUCCCUGA